ACAGGGAUUGCCUCAGUAACGGCGAGUGAAGCGGCAACAGCUCAAAUUUGAAAUCUGGCUCUUUCAGGGCCCGAGUUGUAAUUUGUAGAAGAUGCUUCGGGUGUGGCUCCGGUCUAAGUUCCUUGGAACAGGACGUCAUAGAGGGUGAGAAUCCCGUAUGUGACUGGCUGCCUCCCCCAUGUGAAGCUCUUUCGACGAGUCGAGUUGUUUGGGAAUGCAGCUCAAAAUGGGUGGUAAAUUUCAUCUAAAGCUAAAUAUUGGCCAGAGACCGAUAGCGCACAAGUAGAGUGAUCGAAAGAUGAAAAGCACUUUGGAAAGAGAGUUAAACAGUACGUGAAAUUGUUGAAAGGGAAGCGCUUGCAAUCAGACUUGCGCGCGGUCGAUCAUCCGAUGUUCUCACCGGUGCACUCGACCGUGCUCAGGCCAGCAUCGGUUUCGGUGGUUGGAUAAAGGCCUUGGGAAUGUGGCUCUCUUCGGGGAGUGUUAUAGCCCUCGGUGCAAUGCAGCCUACCGGGACCGAGGACCGCGCUUCGGCUAGGAUGCUGGCGUAAUGGUUGUAAGCGACCCG
rnacentral:rRNA from 1 species